AACUCAAAGGAAUUGACGGGGGCCCGCACAAGCGGUGGAGCAUGUGGUUCAAUUCGACGCAACGCGAAGAACCUUACCUGGGCUAGACAACAGUGGACCGUCCUAGAGAUAGGAUUUUCCCUUCGGGGACCGCUGGUUCAGGUGCUGCAUGGCUGUCGUCAGCUCGUGCCGUGAGGUGUUGGGUUAAGUCCCGCAACGAGCGCAACCCUCGUACUUAGUUGCCACCAUUCAGUUGGGCACUCUAGGUAGACUGCCGGCGUUAAGCCGGAGGAAGGUGGGGACGACGUCAAGUCAUCAUGGCCCUUAUGCCCAGGGCCACACACGUGCUACAAUGGGCGGCACAAAGGGUCGCGAACCCGCGAGGGGGAGCCAAUCCCAAAAAGCCGUUCUCAGUUCGGAUUGGAGUCUGCAACUCGACUCCAUGAAGUUGGAAUCGCUAGUAAUCGCGGAUCAGCACGCCGCGGUGAAUACGUUCCCGGGCCUU
rnacentral:rRNA from 1 species